rnacentral:misc_RNA from 1 species
GAUGAAGAACGUAGCGAAAUGCGAUAAGUAAUGUGAAUUGCAGAAUUCAGUGAAUCAUCGAAUCUUUGAACGCACAUUGCGCCCGCCAGUAUUCUGGCGGGCAUGCCUGUUCGAGCGUCAUUUCAACCCUCAAGCCCCAGCGGCCUGGUGUUGGGGACCGGCGACCUCGCCCGAGUCCGCCCUCCGGGGCGCGUGCCCGGUGCGUCCGCCGCCCCCGAAAUGAAUUGGCGGCCUCGUCGCGGCCUCCUCUGCGUAGUAGCACAACCUCGCAAGCGGGAGCGCGACGCGGCCACUGCCGUAAAACGCCCAACUUUUUUAGAGUUGACCUCGGAUCAGGUAGGAAUACCCGCUGAACUUAAGCAUAUCAAUAAGCGGAGGA